rnacentral:rRNA from 1 species
GACGAACGCUGGCGGCGUGCUUAACACAUGCAAGUCGAACGGAAAGGCCCCUUUGGGGGUACUCGAGUGGCGAACGGGUGAGUAACACGUGAGUAACCUGCCCUUGACUUCGGGAUAACUUCAGGAAACUGGGGCUAAUACCGGAUAGGAAUCCUUGCUGCAUGGUGGGGGUUGGAAAGCUUCGGCGGUUUUGGAUGGACUCGCGGCUUAUCAGCUUGUUGGUGGGGUAGUGGCUUACCAAGGCUUUGACGGGUAGCCGGCCUGAGAGGGCGACCGGCCACAUUGGGACUGAGAUACGGCCCAGACUCCUACGGGAGGCAGCAGUGGGGAAUAUUGCACAAUGGGCGGAAGCCUGAUGCAGCAACGCCGCGUGCGGGAUGACGGCCUUCGGGUUGUAAACCGCUUUCAGCAGGGGCGAAGCUUGUGGUGACGGUACCUGCAGAAGAAGCACCGGCUAACUACGUA